UCUGGAGGGGGCAGCCUGUUCCUGGUUCUGUCGCGAAUUGUCUGUGAGACUUUAGGCAAAGCACAGUCGUCUGCUGGCCUCAGCUUCUGCUCCUGGACAUGCAGUCACUGCAUAUGUAUUUCAGAAUGACUUCCGAAAGCUCUUUUCAAUCAUUUACAUCCAAUUUCCAUGAAAUGACUCUCUCCCUUGGGAACAGGGACCAUCUCUCACUGGCUUAUUUCUCAUAAGACUGAAAACGCAAGAGAAAAGUCUUGAUACUUGACUUAACACCAGUGGAAUAAAUGGGACUAUUGCCCUAUGGACCAGUACAAAGCCACCUUGGCCUUGGUGUCCACCUCAACUCCAUAACCGUGAUAACAGGAAGUGUGACAAGGGGAGCUGAGUCAAGUUGUAAAAAAUUUCUCAGCUAGAAUACUACAAAAUGCCAGAACGGUGGGGUGAUGCAGUCAAUGA